rnacentral:lncRNA from 1 species
GACUUUAAGAAAGGGAGUGAUUCUGAGGCUCAGCUUCACCUUCCUCAUAUCCUUUCCUUGGGACGUUCUGUGAAAAUUGGUGGGGCAGCAGAAGCAGUGCCCAACCAAGUAGCUUGGGGCCUUUUGGCUCUGAACCAGAGGAGAAACAUGGGUAUAGGAGAAGGAGGAGAGGAGAGAGUAGGGGCCCAGUGCUAAAGGCAGGCUAACGAGGUCUAACAGGGUCAAAUGUUCCCUCCCACUCAGCCCUGGGCCUAUGCACAGGGGAGUCUUUCAUGCCUGUAGCUGCCCACUCCAGGACACAGAGGCCCCAGGCUAGGAAGUGCAUGUGCUCCUCCUCAGGUGGCUGAAGCGUGGCCUUGGCCCAGCCUGAUCUCCCUGCCUAAGCAGCUACUGGCUUUGAUGAGACAUUCUGUUAUCUCAACAGGGAAAGGAACCACAAACAGGAAGUCCAGCAGUUAUCACUCUCUUCUUCCCUAUGUUGAGGCUCACUAUAUGUGAUAUGAUCAGUGAUACAAGAUUAACAAGCUGUUAUCAGGUACAGUGAUAUAGAGACUGUAAUCUGACCACCCACCUCCUACCCACAACCCACCACUUUCCUGGGAAUUGUACUUAGGAAUUCCUAGCUAACUCUCACCUAUAAUUCUAUUCUAUAGACUUCAUUGCUCCAGAAGACAAGCAACAGUGUCUUAGGGCUUGACAAAACUGGAGGCCAACAUGUAAG